GAUGAACGCUGGCGGCGUGCCUAAUACAUGCAAGUCGAGCGAACAGACGAGGAGCUUGCUUCUCUGAUGUUAGCGGCGGACGGGUGAGUAACACGUGGAUAACCUACCUAUAAGACUGGGAUAACUUCGGGAAACCGGAGCUAAUACCGGAUAAUAUUUUGAACCGCAUGGUUCAAUAGUAAAAGACGGUUUUGCUGUCACUUAUAGAUGGAUCCGCGCUGCAUUAGCUAGUUGGUAAGGUAACGGCUUACCAAGGCAACGAUGCAUAGCCGACCUGAGAGGGUGAUCGGCCACACUGGAACUGAGACACGGUCCAGACUCCUACGGGAGGCAGCAGUAGGGAAUCUUCCGCAAUGGGCGAAAGCCUGACGGAGCAACGCCGCGUGAGUGAUGAAGGUCUUCGGAUCGUAAAACUCUGUUAUUAGGGAAGAACAAAUGUGUAAGUAACUAUGCACAUCUUGACGGUACCUAAUCAGAAAGCCACGGCUAACUACGUG
rnacentral:rRNA from 1 species